UACGUAGGGUGCGAGCGUUGUCCGGAAUUAUUGGGCGUAAAGAGCUCGUAGGCGGUCUGUCGCGUCGGUCGUGAAAACUUGGGGCUUAACCUCUAGACGUCGAUGGAAACUGUUUGGCUAGAGUCCGGAAGAGGAGAAUGGAAUUCCUGGUGUAGCGGUGAAAUGCGCAGAUAUCAGGAAGAACACCCGUGGCUAAGGCGGUUCUCUAGUACGGUACUGACGCUGAGACGCGAAAGCGUGGGGAGCGAACAGG
rnacentral:rRNA from 1 species